rnacentral:rRNA from 1 species
AUUGAACGCUGGCGGCAGGCCUAACACAUGCAAGUCGAACGGUAACAGGAAGCAGCUUGCUGCUUCGCUGACGAGUGGCGGACGGGUGAGUAAUGUCUGGGAAACUGCCUGAUGGAGGGGGAUAACUACUGGAAACGGUAGCUAAUACCGCAUAAUGUCGCAAGACCAAAGAGGGGGACCUUCGGGCCUCUUGCCAUCGGAUGUGCCCAGAUGGGAUUAGCUUGUUGGUGGGGUAACGGCUCACCAAGGCGACGAUCCCUAGCUGGUCUGAGAGGAUGACCAGCCACACUGGAACUGAGACACGGUCCAGACUCCUACGGGAGGCAGCAGUGGGGAAUAUUGCACAAUGGGCGCAAGCCUGAUGCAGCCAUGCCGCGUGUAUGAAGAAGGCCUUCGGGUUGUAAAGUACUUUCAGCGGGGAGGAAGGGAGUAAAGUUAAUACCUUUGCUCAUUGACGUUACCCGCCGAAGAAGCACCGGCUAACUCCGUGCCAGCAGCCGCAGUAA